rnacentral:rRNA from 1 species
CCUACGGGCGGCAGCAGUGGGGAAUAUUGGACAAUGGGCGAAAGCCUGAUCCAGCCAUGCCGCGUGUGUGAAGAAGGCCUUCGGGUUGUAAAGCACUUUCAGUGGGGAAGAAAGCCUUGGGGCUAAUACCCUCGAGGAAGGACAUCACCCACAGAAGAAGCACCGGCUAACUCCGUGCCAGCAGCCGCGGUAAUACGGAGGGUGCGAGCGUUAAUCGGAAUUACUGGGCGUAAAGCGCGCGUAGGCGGUCUGAUAAGCCGGUUGUGAAAGCCCCGGGCUCAACCUGGGAACGGCAUCCGGAACUGUCAGGCUAGAGUGCAGGAGAGGAAGGUAGAAUUCCCGGUGUAGCGGUGAAAUGCGUAGAGAUCGGGAGGAAUACCAGUGGCGAAGGCGGUCUUCUGGACUGACACUGACGCUGAGGUGCGAAAGCGUGGGUAGCAAACAGGAUUAGAUACCCGAGUAGUC